rnacentral:rRNA from 1 species
UACGAAAGGUGCAAGCGUUACUCGGAAUCACUGGGCGUAAAGCGCACGUAGGCGGACUCGUAGGUCAAUUGUGAAAUACCUGGGCUCAACCCGGGAACUGCAGUUGAAACCGCUUGUCUUGAAUACCUGAGAGGGUGGGGGAAUACCUGGUGGAGAAGUGAAAUGCAUUGAGAUCGGAAAGAACACCAACGGCGAAAGCACUCUGCUGGGCCGACACUGACACUGAGAGACGGAAGCUAGGGGAGCAAAUGGG